rfam:Oryza meridionalis cultivar OR44 (W2112) chromosome 6, whole genome shotgun sequence.
UUUAGAUGUAACCAUGAGUUUCCGUGUCUAACUUUGAUUGUCCGUAUUAUUUGAAUUUUUUUUAUGAUUAGUAUUUUUAUUGUUAUUAGAUGAUAAAACAUGGAUAAUGUUUUAUGCGUGACUUAUGUUUUAAAGUUUUUUUAAAAAAAUUCAAAUAAAACGGACGAUCAAAGUUGAGCACGGUAAAUCAUGGCUGCAUAUAAA